CCUACGGGAGGCAGCAGUGAGGAAUCUUGGACAAUGGACGAGAGUCUGAACCAGCCACGCAGCGUGAAGGAUGACUGCCCUAUGGGUUGUAAACUUCUUUUAUAUGGGAAUAAAAUGUUCCACGUGUGGGAUUUUGUAUGUACGAUAUGCAUAAGGAUCGGCUAACUUCGUUACAGCAUCCGCGGUAAUCCGGUGGAUCCGAGCGUUAUCCGGAUUUAUUGGGUUUAACGGGAGCGUAGGUGGAUUGUUAAGUCAGUUGUGAAAGUUUGCGGCUCAACCGUACAAUUGCAGUUGAAACUGGCAGUCUUGAGUACAGUAGAGGUGAGCGGAAUUCGUGGUGUAGCGGUGAAAUGCGUAGAUAUCACGAAGAACUCCGAUUGCGAAGGCAGCUCACUGGACUGCAACUGACACUGAGGCUCGAAAGCGUGGGUAUCAAACAGGAUUAGAUACCCGAGUAGUC
rnacentral:rRNA from 1 species